AUUCCAGCCUGGCAACAGAGUAAGACUCCGUCUCAAAAAAAGAAAUAAAAAUAAAAGAAAGCCACAGAUUGUGGUAAUCCUGUGGUAUAAAUUAGAUGAGAGCCAGUGAGAGCUUUGGUUUUGUGCUCAAUUUUUGGGUUGAGGGGAGGUUACUGGGAAGUGUGUUCUUGGCGCGAGGCCCUGGCCCAGAGGCUGGCUCGUCUGCUGUUGAGCUCCCGUCACCCCUCAGCUUGUCUGCCUCGUCACUGCUGUCGCUUCAGCUGUGCGUGCCUUUCCUGGGUACAGGCAUUAGGCUCCCUGCCACGGAAUCUGCAUACAUUAACUAUUGUCUGCUAAAAAUUGUGACUAUUUGAUUUUUUUUUUCCCUUUGAGCAUCCAUUUUGGUUUAUAAACUGAGCCAAGCUGGCAGCCAUGAAGACUGAAGAAUCCUAGUUUCUAACAAAGAAAAAUGAAACCCAGUCUCUUCUUCCCCACUUCACGUCUGUGUGCAAGUCUCAGCUUUCGGUUGGCCCACCCCGGAACAAUCUUGAAAACAAUCCAUUUUCUGUCACUCAGAGGUGCCAAGCAAAGGAAUUCACAGUGAGUGGUGUUGAGAUGCAGAAGAAUUGCUUGGGCACCAUCCUGAGUAGGUACCUUGCGUUACCUCUGCUGCAAGUCUGGGAGCCAUGAAGUCUGGAUCACAGUUCUGCAGAUAUGGAGAGCAGGGUUUCUAAGCCACCAAUGAAUGACACAUGUAGGCCAUGGAAACACAAAGGCUCCAUUUAACCUGGGGAUGACUUAGGAAUAUGGACAUCGUGCCAAGUAUACUUUGUGAACAUUUGUGUUACUUGAUCAUAAGGAUCUUUGGAGUCUUCAUAAUGUCGUCUUGUCUGUCUCUUUGCCUCAAGACAUAUUGUAUCAAAGAAAGGUAGCAUUCCUAAAGAUGUCCAGAUAGAUAUUUUAACUAAGCUUCAGUCUUAACUGGGAGCGGAAAACCAGAGUUCACGUUUGUUCUUAUCAUGACAGCUCAGAAGUAAAGCUAAAACCAGUUUCUGUUUUCUCUGUGAUCUGUGGAAAGGGAUAGUAAGUUGGUCUCUCUGCAGAGUUUAAAAGAACUUCAUCCACUUACAUUCAUCUUCCAGCUUUUUAUUUAUGGGCAAAACGAUUAUAACUCUGCUAACAACCUCACCCUAUCUGGUCCCAUGAACUUUGUGGCUGGGGAAAUGUGGGGGUAGGGGAAGCUAGUGUAGAUAUGUGGCUGGUACCAAGAACCCAAACGCAGCCCUCAAAUCUCAUGCCUUCAUUCAGUCUGUUUUUCAGCAAAUAUUUGCUGAGUCCCUGCUGUGCAAAGCACUAUGAAGGCACAAGGGAAAUAUAUAACCAAUCUAUUCCCAAGUCCUCUUCAUUUGGCCUCUUGAAUGUCUCUGAAUUCUGUCCACUCCCACAUUCUCCACCACUUCUAUCCUUCCAAGGAUAUCCUAUCCAAGUUGCCAUCGUCCUUCACCUGUCUCCAGGAGGGAGCAUGACCUUGGGUGAGGUGGCUCUUUGUCUAAGGGCCAUUCCCAGAGAGAGACCUGAUUGAGAGUUGUCAGGUACUUCAGUCUGUACUUGAGAAUCUUGGUGGCACACUGCAGCAUCUAUGAUUUAUAGAUAAAUGACAGAUAGAGAGAGAGAGAGAGAGAGAGAGAAUGAAUCAGAAAAGGUGAGACAUAAAACAACAGCUGCCAUUACUACGUAUUCUACAUUCUGCUUUUUUUGUUUUGAUUUGAUUUAUUUUCAUGGUUCUGGUGAUGCAUGUUUUGAAAAAAUCACGGUGCUGGCUGUGAUCAGUGGGGUUGGGUUACGAUGCUCUGGGAACACAAAGGUGGAGUACUCAUUUGCAAUUAGGAAACUGAAAAAGACUUCCUCAGUAAAGUGGAGAUUAGAUCUAAGGUAAAUACGAAGGAGAAUGAGCCACUCUCUUCCUGUGUAUGAGGGGCAUUGGGCAGGAGGAUGAAGAUGGUGGGGAGAAUAUCUGAAUUUUCAACAAAGGUGGAUUGCUGUGCGCUUUGCCAGAAACAAACGUAUGUGGGUGACCUAGAAAUAAAAGCACUCUGUCUUCCGGGCUAGCCUUAGGCUAGCAGCUGAAAAAUCCUCUUGCUCUUCCUUAGAAAAUAGCAGUAACAGAGGUAAGGCAUAUGUGACUAUGAAAACAAAACUAUUGUUUUCUCUUGCAUUCAUUUUAGGGAGGAGUUAAAGGAAAGGUUAGGGUAUCAUAUUAAUAGUACUUGAGUGAUUUAGAUUUCACCUAUAUGUUGAAUGAUCUUACAUAGAAUGAGGAUCAGCAUAGUUCAUUACCUCAAAAGUGAGAAAGAAGGGAAGAAGGGAGCAGAGUAGGUUCCUAAGCAUGUCAGAGGACCAGGCUGAGCCAUGCCCCCAGCACUGAGUGGGCCCAAGGCUCUGCCUUCCUUGUUUUGAUGCCUUCCUCGUUCCUUUCUGGCGGAAGCAUCCUUUAUGCUUUCGGACAUUAUCUGACAUUAGGGUUGGGGUCCUACCAGGAUGUCAGUUUUAUUUUUCUAGAUUUAGUGUGUUCACUAGCUUUUGCCGUUAUUGGUUAUUUCAGCAGGAAAAAAACAUUUAGUUCAUUAAAACAUGACUCAGCAAUUGCAAUCUGAUAGGACAUUUUCUCUAAUUUUUAUGGAGAAUUUUUUUUAACUCUUUUGUCUCCUUUUAGUUUUUGCUUUUCAGAAUUUCUUUUUUAGUUAUUGGUUACACAUGUAUUUUUGUUGUUGUUGUUCAUCCAUUUGCUCAUUUUAGAGAUGGGAUCUUGCUGUGUUUCUCAGGCUGGCCUUGAACUCCUGGACUUGAGCCAUCCUUCUGCCUCAGCCUCCCAAGUAGCUGGGAGUACAGUCAAGCAGCACUGCACCAGCUUGAAACAUGUAUUUUAGAUCUAAAUCUACAUGGUGUCUAUAAUUGUAUUUUAAAUUUCUCUUAUAAAAGAAAAUAAAUUAGCAUUGGGGGGCAAUAUUACAUCUUCUCUUUAAAAUUCAAUUGUAAUAACAUCCCCCUUUGUUACACUGUCCCCAAAUUUAAAAAACAGUUAAAAAUUCUAUGCCAUGCAGAGAUGACUAGUUUGAUAUUCAGCUCAAGUUAAGGAAAAUAUUAAGAGUUUGUUUUAAAAAUUAUUUUUAAAGUUUGGUGAUAGAAAUUUGUGAUUUAGGAACCGGAUGGUAGAAGUGGGACAGAGGAGAAUAUGUCCUGAGUUUACAUGUGAGAUUUUGGCCUCAUCUCUAAAAGGACAGGAUUGGAUUAGGCUCUUAGGGGGUAUUCCUACCCAAUUCAUUUCUGAUUUUAUAAAGUGGCCUCUUUAAAAACUGUCUUGCCAUGACUGUGCCUCAGUUCCUAGUGAGCUUUAGGUCGGCUGACUUGCUGCCAUUCCCUCCAAGUCUGCCUUCGUGUAGAUCGUAACUUGGCCUUAUAUGACAGGCAGCUCAUGCUGGGCAUGUUCCUUCGUGGCCGUUUCCUGAUCAGUAAGCUGUGACAGCGUAGCAUCCUUCGUGCUCUAGAGCAUGGGGAUCCCUUUGCCUGGGAGCGAUCUGAGGCUGCUACUUCAUGGGAUACCUACAUGCAAUACCUCCAGGAUCCCAUGUAGGCCCAAACUGCCAUCCCAAGGUAUAUUCAGUCAUCUGUCAGACCCAUUGAGAACUGCUGUUUUAGUUUGGAAAUGAAAUUUAAAAUGGAAGAAACAUAAUGUUGUUUUCUUUUCCAGUGUUAACUUCUGUCAUUUUCCUAGUGGCUACUUUAAAAAAAAAAAAUAGCAACAACAAAAACCAUGUAUACUAAGUUUUUUUUUUUAAGAGCUGAUAUUUUUAUUUCAACAAGAACUGCCCACUGCCUGCAUUUGUAACACAGAUCACUUUUACCCCACUUCACCUCUGGCCUUGGGCCAGUACCAUGAGCUACCUCAGCCCCAGGCUGCUAAGGGAAAGAACUGGGCAUUGAGGUGUGCUUGUAACAAAUUAUUCACUCAGAGAGGAUUUGCUGCUUGGUAAGGGCUUGAAAAUCUAGUGCAAAGUCUCUCAAACUGCCUGCUGGCAGGCAUGCCUCAGGGACCCCCUCAGGAAUGAGGGGAAUUGCGAGGCAGAGCAGAGUAGAGUUGGGUGGUCAAGUCCCUGCUUGAACCAGGGGAGCUGCACUUAAGGUUUUAUUUGGGAGACAGUAGUGCUGCAAGUGGAGCCACAGGGGAAGGAAGGGAGAGAGGCAAGGAAGACCAGAGAAGGAGAGGGACAUUGAUCCUUUGAGUUCCCUGGAAUAAUACAGACAGGGACAUGUUCAUUGAUGGACGGAGGUGAUGAGAGAUCGACAGUGAGGUAUCAGAGGACAGAGUACUUUAAUUGAAUCUAGAAAGAGAGAGAGUUUUCUGAGGAGUCAAGAAGGCACAGGGCAUCCCAGAACAAGAAAACGCAGCCGCGGAGAGGCAAGACACAAUACAGUACAUUUACAGAAGUGCAGAGUUUGUUCUCAAGGUCCACAUAGUAAGAGCAGGUGGGAGCCUACCAAGGUGGCGUGGCAGAAGGGGGUCAGCUCCAGAGGGCACUGCAACAUGCCCAGCAGUUUGCCUGUAUGCUAUUACAGGCACCAUUAAAAUAAUUUCAAGGUAAAUCAGCUGAAUAAUAUCAGACAGACCCUCCGUAUCUGCCUACAUUUCCCCUACCUGCUUUCAGUGCUUUAGUAGAUAGCCAUUAUUUAAGAUAUGAUUUAUAGCCAUUACUUUAAAGUCCACUGUUGGUUGCAAAGCUAUGGAUUCCUUUGCAAGGGUCAUCAUGGCAUCGCAGACUCCAAAGAGGAGGCAAUUGCUACUUUUUCCUUGUGCAAAAUUGACUUAUGGCUUGCAGGAAAGGUAGCACGGCCGCUCUGCGAGAAAGUUAGUGUCCCGGUUCUGUAGGAGUGGCACUUCUCUAUCUUGUGAAAACUAAAUUUCUAAAAGCUCCUUGGGAUGGAAAGAGUUGGUAGUGCUGAUACCGACUCACCGCCCUCUGCACUAACCACUGAGCCCAGCCUCCCACACUUUGUAGAUGGGGAAAUGAGGGUCCAGACAUGUCCGGAGGUCCUGGGCAGAGCCUGGACAAGAACCGGGCCUCUGGGAUUGUGGUCCAGGCCUCCUGACAGGGUAACACGCCACCCCCUCCCUCGAUUUCAGGAAAGCUGAAAUAAGUGUGAGGGGCUGUGUCGUGACAAUAUUGGAUAACUGACCUACUUUGUCCUCUGUGUUCUUUCCUAAACGAGGAGAGAAAAAGGGCAGCAGAAUGGGGGUCAAAAGCUGAAGGAAACAUGCCCACCAGAAUCAGAGUCGAUAGAUGUUUAAAGCUGAGAUGUGUGGGAAGAAAAGACAGGCAGAGUGCGCAGGAGUUAAAGGGUCAGAGGAGUGGGGAAAAUUGGGGUGGUAAGGGAGAGAAGUGGCAGAAAAAGGUAAAAGCUUCAAGAACAUGAGGAUAUAGGAGGUCUCGGUUACAAAAUUGGCCCAAUGAUAUUUUCUACCACAAUUUUU